GAUAUACUCUCUUCGUUCGAAAAUACUUGUCCUAAAAAUGAAUAUAAUGAAUGUAUCUAUAACUAAAAUAAGCCUAGAUACAUUCAUCUCUAGGACAAGUAUUUUCGAACGGAGGGAGUAUUGG
rnacentral:pre_miRNA from 1 species